rnacentral:rRNA from 1 species
UACGAAGGGGGCUAGCGUUGUUCGGAAUUACUGGGCGUAAAGCGCACGUAGGCGGACAUUUAAGUCAGGGGUGAAAUCCCGGGGCUCAACCCCGGAACUGCCUUUGAUACUGGGUGUCUAGAGUCCGGAAGAGGUGAGUGGAAUUCCGAGUGUAGAGGUGAAAUUCGUAGAUAUUCGGAGGAACACCAGUGGCGAAGGCGGCUCACUGGUCCGGUACUGACGCUGAGGUGCGAAAGCGUGGGGAGCAAACAGGAUUAGAAACCCCCGUAGUCC